rnacentral:rRNA from 1 species
AGAGUUUGUUUCUGGCUCAGGACGAACGCUGGCGGCGUGCCUAACACAUGCAAGUCGAGCGGGGACUUACGAAUGAAGUUUUCGGAUGGAAUUUGUAAGUUCUAGCGGCGGACGGGUGAGUAACGCGUGAGCAACCUGCCUAUCACUGGGGAAUAACGCAGCGAAAGUUGUGCUAAUACCGCAUGAGACCACAGCAUCGCAUGGUGCAGGGGUCAAAGAUUGAUUCGGUGAUAGAUGGGCUCGCGUCUGAUUAGAUAGUUGGUGAGGUAACGGCCCACCAAGUCAACGAUCAGUAGCCGACCUGAGAGGGUGAUCGGCCACAUUGGAACUGAGAAACGGUCCAAACUCCUACGGGAGGCAGCAGUGGGGAAUAUUGGGCAAUGGGCGCAAGCCUGACCCAGCAACGCCGCGUGAAGGAAGAAGGUCUUCGGAUCGUAAACUUCUAUCCUUGGUGAAGAUAAUGACGGUAGCCGAGAAGGAAGCCCCGGCUAACUACGUGCCAGCAGCCGCGGUAAUACGGGGGAUGCAAGCGUUGUCCGGAAUCAUUGGGCGUAAAGAGUUCGUAGGUGGUUUGUUAAGUCUGGUGUUAAAUGCAGAGGCUCAACUUCUGUUCGGCACUGGAUACUGGCAGACUUGAAUGCGGUAGAGGUAAAGGGAAUUCCUGGUGUAGCGGUGAAAUGCGUAGAUAUCAGGAGGAACAUCGGUGACGAAAGCGCUUUACUGGGCCGUAAUUGACACUGAGGAACGAAAGCCAGGGUAGCAAAUGGAAAUAGAUACCCCAGUAGUCCUGGCCGUAAACG